UAGGUCACUUCCUCUCCCAAGUCCCCUUCCUUUCACCGGAAAAAGUCAAAUCCCUGAAAUAAAUGCCUGAAGUCUCUUUUCUAAAAGUAGACCCCAGUCCUCUGUGCCUGCCCCCCUCCCCCAGCCGUGGCUCCAAGAUCCCUGUCACAAGUAAGAGAGAGCUAUCAUCCCAGCUGUAAGCCUCUCAUUCAGGGUUCUUGCCGCAGCCAGCAGUGUCCUUGGAGUCUAGUUCAAAAUUGGAGAAAGUGAACCAUGGAGCUGGGAGCCAUUGGUGGAGGGGCUGGCCUGAAGGAAGUGAAGUGUUUCAGCCAGAAUGUACUGACGCACAACCAGGAAACCACAGACUGAGUAACUGCCAGUUGCCAUGCAAUAAAUCACGUCAUCAUAUAGCAGAUCCAGUUAAUAGCUGAGACUAGCAGGAUAACUGAACCAUGUCCUGAGAGCUAAGUGAUGGAGAAAUUGAACAUGGAGCACUUCAAAUUGAUGACUUAGUCACGGGGUAUUUUUCCUGGAAAGAACAGGAUAAUUCUGAACUAUUGAUUUUGUCAAGGGUACAAGCUCCCAUGUAAAGGAAAAUAAAGCAAGUGUGAUGAACUUUUCA